GAGGUCGGCGGGCCGGUGAGGUCGACGUCGUUCGGCUCCAGUCGGAACGAGGAGCGGGCGUUCGGAUCGUUCCCGAACACG
rnacentral:tRNA from 1 species